GAUGAACGCUGGCGGCGUGCCUAAUACAUGCAAGUCGAGCGAAUAGACGAGGAGCUUGCUCCUCUGACGUUAGCGGCGGACGGGUGAGUAACACGUGGAUAACCUACCUAUAAGACUGGGAUAACUUCGGGAAACCGGAGCUAAUACCGGAUAAUAUAUUGAACCGCAUGGUUCAAUAGUGAAAGACGGUUUUGCUGUCACUUAUAGAUGGAUCCGCGCCGCAUUAGCUAGUUGGUAAGGUAACGGCUUACCAAGGCAACGAUGCGUAGCCGACCUGGGAGGGGGGUGGGCAAACAGGAAAAGAGACACGGAGCACAAUCCGAGAGGGGGGCGCAAGAAGGAAGCUUACGGAAAGGGGAGAAGUAGGGAGGGAGAAAGCCGGGGGGAGAAAGAAGGGUUUGGGAAAAGAAAAACUUUUUUAUGGGGGAAAAAAAAAUGUGAAAGUAAAAAGGCACGUCUGAAGGAUACAAAAGAAGAAAAACCGGCAAAACUAGGUG
rnacentral:rRNA from 1 species